rnacentral:lncRNA from 1 species
GUUGCUCUUGUGGCUGAUGGCAUUCCCACCACCACACAAGGAGCAAGAGAGAGAGAGAGAGAGAGAGAUUCAGGUUUGAGUGGCUGUGGGAGCAUUCAGCGUUGUUCCACUAUGCUGGACACAUGCAUGAAAGAGGUCUCAGAACCUUUUCUUUGUAAAGGUGGAGGACCCUUGUUUGCUAUCUGCCAAACUUUCUUCUCAAGCCUUUCUCCUGGGGUAUUUUUUGCCGUGGGAGCCCUUUCCUACAUGCAGGGGCUGCCCUAUUCUGUCGCUCGUGGGGUUUGGUCGAGUUCAUUAGACCUGCAUCAAGGCAAGCAAACACCAGGAAGCCUGUAGAAGUAAAUUUCUUUAAAAGCUUUUGGGAUUUUAGAGGGUGUUUAAGAAGUUAUAGCUAGGGAAAGUGAUUGCAUCAUUGAUGUACCUGGCCAGUUGCAAGCUGCCUUCUUUCUGUGGAUGUUGGGGUGGGGAGAGAUUACCUCCACUACAUGGCAGACAGCUUCCAUGACUUUUGCGAUGUUGGAAGACAGCUCCCAUUCACCACCAAUAUCAGAGGUAUCUGUCUGACAGCCCAAUAAGCCAACCGGAUUAUUGAUUGGACUCAUAAAUCUAUCAUGUUGGAUUUGAAAAGUGUAUGUUAGAUCUUAUUUCCUGUCAAUUUAUGCAAAGAUUUUAGGUUUCUAGGUCCUAACCAGUACUGUCAUGUUCCAUGACCAAAACUUAUUGCAUCUUAAAACUAGUCAUGGGAUGAGGAUGCAUACUAGGUGCCUGGAUUUUGCAUAUAUAAUGGAUGAUUUGAGCAAUGAUUUCGGUGAAUGUGAAUUUUGGCACAGUAUAGUGAAUGGUGGAUGGAUAACUGCAUUCCUUAAGUCUCAUAUGAGUAAAUUGAUUGCUUCUUCUUUUUUUUAAUUUUUUUAUUAAAAAAACUGGGCUUAGCCUUGAGUAUUAAUGUGCAAGACAUCAAUAAUUGACUUUGUGGGACCUAGAGGCAACAUUAGGUCAUAUGCGAUGGAAGCAAGGAGUAGGGAAUAGGGAUAUGUGAGGAAAGUAACCAAUGACAUUUGUGAUAGCCACUAUACUUGGCAAUGAAAGUCCAAGACAUUAUACAAACAUAAACAGUUAGAGUUGCUAUUGAAAUUGACCAUCCGCUUGAUUUAUUAUGUUCGACAAGAUUCAAUGUAUGAUAUUGUACCUUCUAGAAUUUACUUGUUUGAUCAUCAAAUCGACGCAAAAUGGAUUUAUAUUUUUAAUAUCCCGUCCAUUUUUUUAUUCAUUUAUUUCUAACAAUAUGAUAAAGGGUUUGAUUGGUUUAUGCUCAAAACUUUAAUAUGAAGUUAUUGAAUCUCAAGCCAUGUACUUUAAGAUGCCUAAAUAAUGAAUAUUGAAGUUAGUGACCAGAUCAUGUCACAAUUAAGCAAACUCACUUGAUAGUGGACUCAUCCUAACUAUGAUUUGAAGGAAAGAAAUGAAACAUUACUUGAUAUGUAUUGCAUAUAUAAUUAAUCAAUAUCAUGCACAUUUUAACAUGUAUAUAAAUCGCAUGAAAACGAACAAAUCAAGAUUAUUAUAAGAUAUCGAUUGUUAUGCUACUCAUUGAAGGCUUUAAUCAAAUACAAUUAAUUGUUUAAUUUGGAAGUUCUGCACCAAUUUUUGUCUGUAAUAGUUCUUUUUCUCUUCUCCCUUUGUCGACCACAAACUUCAAAAUUAGAAGAUAUAGGGCUAUAUUUGGUCAGUAGAAUACCAUGGCAAUCAGUCCUCUCACAGGACUCAGUCUGGGGACCUACUUAUUGCCACCUUUCAUUGUUGUAG